rnacentral:rRNA from 1 species
UACGUAGGGACCUAGCGUUGUCCGGAAUCAUUGGGCGUAAAGCGCGCGUAGGCGGCCCGGUAAGUCCGCUGUGAAAUCUCGAGGCUCAACUUCGAGCUGUCGGUGGAAACUGUCUGGCUAGAGUCCGGAAGAGGAGAAUGGAAUUCCUGGUGUAGCGGUGAAAUGCGCAGAUAUCAGGAAGAACACCCGUGGCGAAGGCGGCUCUCUGGGACGGUACUGACGCUGAGACGCGAAAGCGUGGGGAGCGAACAGG